rnacentral:rRNA from 1 species
UACGAAGGGGGCUAGCGUUGCUCGGAAUCACUGGGCGUAAAGGGUGCGUAGGCGGGUCUUUUAAGUCAGGGGUGAGAUCCUGGAGCUCAACUCCAGAACUGCCUUUGAUACUGAGGAUCUUGAGUUCGGGAGAGGUGAGUGGAACUGCGAGUGUAGAGGUGAAAUUCGUAGAUAUUCGCAAGAACACCAGUGGCGAAGGCGGCUCACUGGCCCGAUACUGACGCUGAGGCACGAAAGCGUGGGGAGCAAACAGGG